AUUUAAUAUGAGCUGAAUUAUGGUUGGACAGACAUGUAGUGCAAAUGCCAGGGUUUGUUUACGUUUUGUUUUGUUCACAACAUUUUCAAUUAGCUCAGUCCUUAAAGCGGCACUGUCAUGCCGAACUUACCUUUCCCCAAUCUCUUCCUCUUCUCCUCUCUCAGGGUCUGUUCUUCUUUUCUUUCUGUCUUCUUUAGUUUUCUUUAAAAUCAUAAGACAAAGUAGGGACUCUUUGCCUUAUGGAGGUUUCCUCCACUUGACCAGCUCUGACCAGCGG